GUUCUCACUUCAGCAGCAUGUGCACUAAAAGUGGAAUGAUGCAGAGGAGAUUAGCACGGCCCCUGCAUGAGGAUGACACACCAAUAUGUGAAGCGUUGCACAUUAAA
ensembl:snRNA U6 U6 spliceosomal RNA